rnacentral:lncRNA from 1 species
UUCACACAACCCAUGUAAUACAUAAGGGAAGAGAUACAUAGUUGGCUUACAAUCGCCACUUCACACAAUUACAUGAGUAAAGCAUUACAUCAUCCAGAUACAAUCAAGGUCCGAUUACGGAACCAAAAUAAAAGAAGAACCCCAAAUGCGACAAAGGUCCCCGAUCGACCCCAACUGGGCUCCACUACUGAUCAACUAGAACGAAACAACACAAAGGGCAAGAUCUUCAUCGAGCUCCUCCUUGAGCUUGGUUGCGUCACCUGCUCGGUAACAUAGGCACCUGCAAACUGGUUUUGGAAGUAUCUGUGAGCCACGGGGACUCAGCAAUCUCGCACCCGCGAGAUCAAGACUAUUUAAGCUUAUAGGAAGGAUGGAGUAAUGAGGUGGAGCUUUAGCAAGCGACUAGCAUAUAUGGUGGCUACAAUUGCAAAAGAGAGCGAGAAGAGAAGCAAGGCACGGUCGUGAAGCUAGUAGCGAUCAAGAAGUGAUCCUGAAACUACUUACGUCAAACAUAACUCCAACACCGUGUUCACUUCCCGGACUCCGCCGAGAAGAGACCAUCACGGUUACACACGCGGUUGAUGCGUUUUAAUUCGGAUCUUGUGUCAAGUUGUCUACAACCGGACAUUAACAAAUUCCCAUCUGCCACAUAAUCGCGGGCAUGGCUCUCGAAAGUUUAUACCCUGCAGGGGUGUCCCAACUUAGCCCAUGACAAGCUCUCGCGAUCAACGAAGGAAUAGACCUUCUCCCAGGAAGACCCGAUCAGUCUCGGAAUCCCGGUUUACAAGACAUUUCGACAAUGGUAAAACAAGACCAGCAAAGCCGCCCGAUGUGCCAACAAAUCCCGAUAGGAGCUGCACAUAUCUCGUUCUCACGGCACACCGGAUGAGCAAGACGACGGGUUGGCAUAGACCCUGGUUGCCCAGGGGGCGCCGGACAUCGCUCGGUUUGGACCAGCACCCGGAGGAGCACUGGCCCGGGGGGGGGGGGNNNNNNNNNNNNNNNNNNNNNNNNNNNNNNNNNNNNNNNNNNNNNNNNNNNNNNNNNNNNNNNNNNNNNNNNNNNNNNNNNNNNNNNNNNNNNNNNNNNNNNNNNNNNNNNNNNNNNNNNNNNNNNNNNNNNNNNNNNNNNNNNNNNNNNNNNNNNNNNNNNNNNNNNNNNNNNNNNNNNNNNNNNNNNNNNNNNNNNNNNNNNNNNNNNNNNNNNNNNNNNNNNNNNNNNNNCCAAGGGAAAAAGGCUUAGGUAGGCAAAUGGUAAAACCAAGGUUGGGCCUUGCUGGAGGAGUUUUAUUCAAAGCGAACUGUCAAGGGGGUCCCAUAAAUCACCCGACCGCGUAAGGAACGCAAAAUCCGGGAACAUAACACCGGUAUGACGGAAACUAGGGCGGCAAGAGUGGAACAAAACAGCAGGCAUAAGGCCGAGCCUUCCACCCUUUACCAAGUAUAUAGGUGCAUUAAUUAAAUAAGAGAUAUUGUGAUAUCCCAACAAGUAAACAUGUUCCAACAAGGAACAACAUCUCCAUGUUCCAACAAGGAACAAACUUCAAUCUUCACCUGCAACUAACAACGCUAUAAGAGGGGCUGAGCAAAGCGGUAACAUAGCCAAUCAACGGUUUGCUAGGAUAUGGUGGGUUAGAGGUUUGACAUGGCAAUUUGGGAGGCUGACAAGCAAAUGGUAGGCAUCGUAGCAUUGGCAUAGCAAAAGAGCGAGCAAACUAGCAUAGCAAAGAUAGUAGUGAUUUCGAGGGUAUGAUCAUCUUGCCUGAGAUCCCGCAAGGAAGAAGAACGAGUCCAUGAAGAAGACAAACCGACGAAGUCGAAUGGAUCCUCACAACUCCGGAACGAAAACGAAGCUAACGAGAGAAGCAACCCGGAAAGAAACAAACAACAUAGUAAACAACCAUCACAUAAACAUGGCAUGAAGCACAAUCAAGUAUGAUGCAUGUCCAGUUUAAUUAGGCAUGGCAUGGCAAAGUGCAACAAACAAUACUACAAGUUAAGUGGAGCUCAAUAUGCAACGAGUUGCAUAUUGACAAAACACCACAUCAAUUAUUUAGUUCUCUCUCGGUUAUGCUACUCAUCAAUAUUAAAUGUUGUUAAACAUGGCAAAGGGUGAAGCACAAUUAAGCUAUCUAUCUAGGCAAGUUUAAACGAGGCCGGAACAACAAACAACAAUUCUGGAAAAUCCCCAUAUGUCAUUUAGCAAUUAAAGCAAACAACAAUUUUAAACAUUUUAAUUGUUAUUAUCAUGAUGCAGAUGACAUAUGCAAUUUUUAUGAAAAAGUUGACAUAAGCAUGUUAUGAAGCAUUUAUCACCGUGGUGGAACAAAAAGGGUGCCACGGCGGCGAAUCCGAAAAUGAUGCCACGACAACAUAUUGGUUCCGGUAGCUCAUGGAGAUAUCGGUGCAAAAGGAGGCGUGCGGAUGUGCGCAACAAGCUAGAGAUGGUGGGGUGAUCCCGGUUACCGGGUUCCCACGUGACAGUGGCAUGGCAAAAGAGGGACAUGCACGAAACAAACGGGCACGGUGCAAACAAGGACAUCUCAUUCAACACAGGCAUUCGGCGGUCGUCUCGGCUGUUAUACCUUCGAAGCGUGCAUUUUCGGGGCGAAACGAGUUCGAUGCGGUGAAGAGGAAGUAGACGUUCUCACGACGGUAGUGGAAGUAGACGUUCACGGGUCGUCGGGGGAAGUAGUGGUACACGUUCGUUUUCGGAGAGGUACUUGACGAAUCCAACAUCUUCGGGGCGACGGUAGUGGUUCACGGACGUCGUGGAAGUAAUCGUUCUCGUUUCGUAGUCGUACAUGUUGGCGGUAGUGGAAGUAGUGGUACACGGCGACGGUAGUUGUACACACGUUGUAGUCGAACUUGACGGAACCAAAUGUCCUCGAGGGUAGUCGUGGUACAUGGCGAUUUCGGAGACGGCAGCAGAGGUACUCGCAAAAACCGAGAUGGUCUUGAUGAUCCGGUGAGACGACGUGGUCCAGUGCGGUCUUGGUCUUGGCGUCCGUGCGGUAGCCGUGAGCUCAUGGCCUACAACAGCAGCAAGGCGCGGAACGGGACGGAGAUGCCGGGCGCUGAUGGUGGUGGAGCAGGGGCUUCACGCGAACAGGGCCGCAGCGAAGCUGAUGGCCUCGCAGGCCAUGGCAGGCGGUGGGCACGGUAGGAGGGCGAGCGGUCGGCGCGAGGAGAUGGAGAGGCGCGGGACGAGGACGAGGCAGGAGGUCGCGCGAGGUGGAGGAGGACGCGGCAGGUGAGGGAGGAGGCGGUGGAGGCCGGCUCCGAGGCGGACGGGCGCGGCUCUGGUUGGUGGGUGGAGGGACUUGGCCGGCGGCGCGGCUUGGGUGCAGCUCCGGCGAGGGGCUUGAGGCCGCGGGGAAGGAGCCGCGCAAAGAGGCGGUGCUCGGUGGCGGGGCCGACGUCGAGGCGGCUGGCCGCGCGAGAAGACGAGACCGAGCGCUCCUGAUCGGGCCUCGGGAAGAGAGGGGGUGGCGGCUGUGCGGGUGGCGGGGCGGCGAUGCAAUAGGGCGGCAGCUCGGGAGAAGACGAGAGGGAGAGGAUGAGGGGAUCGGGAGGAGUUGGGGACGGGCGCUGGGGCUCUCCUCUCCUGGCGGCGCUCGAACGGGAGACGAGGGAGAGAUCAGGGGAGAUGGGGAUCGCUCGGGCUAGGGUUAGGAGGGACUGGUGGGGGCGGCUGGGCCUUAGAGGCCGGCGGCUGGGCUCUCCUCUCUCUCUCUCUUUCUCUCAAAAGAAAAGAAACAAAAUAGAGAUAAGAAAUAAAAGAAAGAGAGGUUAGGGGAAGAAGUUGGACACGCCGAUAAUUUUCCCGGGCUCACAAAAAUGAGCUGGAACCAGGAAAAUAGAAGUGGGCAUGACCGAAAGAUUUAAAUUCAAACUCAUUUGAAUUUAAUUCAAAUGGGUUUGAACUAUGACUUGAUAAAAGGAAGGUCCAAAAAUGUUUAGAUUUUUGGUGGAGCUCCGGAAAAUGAUGAAAGAAUUUAUGGGUAGAGUUGGAGACCAAGAAUUGAGAUAACAAAGGCAUUGGGAUUUAAUUGCAAGUGGGUUAUGGUUAAUUCCAAAAAAUGGAAUAAUUUUAUUAUAGCUCCCUAAUAUUGGAGGAUGUGUUAUAAAGAGAAAUCACCAUGUGAAUAUCCCUCGAUUUAAAUAGAUCAACGAUUUAUGCAAUUUAUUUAGUUGAGGUUUUAAAAAUUAAUGAUAUGAUGGCAUGAUGCAAUGCAAAUGAUGCAACAAACAAAACAAAUCACACGACGAAACUCGGAAUAGCUGGAAGUCUUCUGGAGCAUCGAGCUCGGGGCGUUACAACACUCCACCACUACAAGAGGAUCUCGUCCCGAGAUCUAGGAUGGCACCGGAGAGAAACGGAAGAGGAAGAGAAGAGGUAAAACUAAGUUGCUUCUUCGACAAAAGAGUGAAACCAAAGAAUCUUGAGAGGUUGAAAAUUUGAAAGAAAGAACACAACGGAGUUGAACACAAUUGAGAGCACUGUAGUAGAAAAUAGAAACAAGGAACACCAUGUGAACCUUGGCGGUUGCAAAGCUAAGAAUGACGAUUGCAAUGGACAAGAAGGAAUUGAAACCACUCUGGUUGAAAUGAGAUAAACAAGGAACAAGGAAGAACAAAUUCGGACAGCACUCUGGUUGAAAAGAGAUGCAAGACUUGAUAAGAUGAAAAGAACUUGAAUGAGAACACAACACUCUGGUUAAAUGGAUAAGCAAGAAAAUAACAUGACCUUGACAAAAUGAGGUGAUGGGUGAAGAGCACAACAUCACAACGCCUCCGGAAGAAAUGAAAGAAUGGAAUGGAAUGAACGGAGGAAAACUUGAUCUUGAAAGAGCACGCUUACAGGAAAUGCUACAAUGGAGUUGUUGGAUUAUCAACAACGAAAGGAUAAGCUUGUUGUGGACUUAUGGAAAACAUCUCAAGACUAUGAGGUGACAACCGGCCACUAACGGAAACAAUUGCUUGCUUGAGAUUAAUGAAGAGAUGAAAGCUUGUUCCAUCAAGAUGGAAAAGAGAUAACUUGGGUCAUUAAUAAGCACCAAAAUAGCAACAUUCCUUAGGGAAGGCUUUAGGUGAAAUCUAUACCAAGAUAACUCAAGUGAAGAGAUUGACGGUUUUAAAAAUAACUCAUUCUUAACAACAUGUGAAUCAUGGAACAUGAACUCAAAUUAUCAAGAAUGACAUAAUACCACCUCCAAAAUAUGGUAGAAAGAAUUGCACUCCGGAUUACCAUAUGAAGAAAGCUUGAGCUCCUUAGGAAAGAAUCUUGAUGAAAACUUUGAGAAGGGAAUUAAAUCCUUGAUGAACCAUCAUGUAGAACCUCCAUGAAGAACUUCGGUAAACAAAAGGAAUGAAACGAAAGAGAAAUUGAAAACACAAGGUGAAUCCUUGCAAUGAUUUAGAUGGAUCUCCGUGAUAAUUAGAGCUUGGAACUCCGGGAAAAACAUAAGAUGAAACAAAUGAAACCAAGAAUUUUAAGGGCCUCCGGAAUAAAGAAUUAAUCACUUGGAUGAACAAGAAUAAGAAUUAUGUUAUGCUUAUCCUUCACCAAUUAAAUUGAUGACAAUCAACAGAUUUGGCAUACUACUUAUUCUCGUAGAAAGGAUUAAAAGAGAUAUAUCAAAACUUGAGAAGGUCUUCAACGAACCACCGGUAGGAUUUGGAAAGAACGAAUGAAUUGAUAUGAUAACAAAGAAAGAGAACUCUUGAACGAACCACCGUAAGAAUUGAAAUUGAACGUAGCAAAUGCACAAAUCACCGGGAAGAAUUGCAAAAUGAAUGAAGAUACUUUAGGGUAAUUAGAUACAAAUGAAUGAAUAGAUCACGAGCUGAUUAGAGAAUACUUGAAUGAUGCACCGGUAUGAUUUGGAUAACGAGAGCUGAAAGCUUGAAUGAAUAAUACUGAGAUGAUGGGCUUCAAAGAAUGGAACUGAAAGGACUCCUAAAAUGCUCCGAAUGGGUGAAAAAGAUUCUCACAAUCGAAAACAAUUAUGAGAGGAUGGCAACAAGCUAGCACCAUGAAUCUUGAAGAGAAUAGAGCAAGAUUAAAGAGAAACUCUUCUUCGGUCUUCAAAUGAUGAGAAUUACAAUGAGAAACACCACCAAGAAUUAUUGAGGCACACCGGAAGAAUCAAAAGCGAAGAGGUUGAGCCAACUAUGAAAAGAAUUUGAAAGAUCUUGGAGAAAAGCAUUUGACUGAUGAUAACUCAUUCUUACGUCAAACUUGGAGAAGAAUUUAGGAUAGCUCUGGGAAAAUAGAAGAGUCAGGUAAGAUCCUGGGAAAAGACCUGUGGGUUAGGGCCCACUCAAAAGAACACCGUUGAAAAGAUUUAACAGAGAUGUUGCACCGGUUGAAUUAAAUGACUUGAAUGAGAUACCAAUCUCGAAAGAGCUUGAACGAAUGCAGAGUAGAAACACGAAUCUUCGAGAUAUCUUGAGUACUCCGGAAUAACAAAUAGCGAGAAGUAGAAUGAUAAUGAGGUGCACCGGUAUGAGAAGACAUUGAAAUGAGGAAAAAGGUAUGAUCAACAAAACUUGACUUGAAUCCACCGGAGAAGAGAAAGUAAUGAGGAAUGAUGAACUAGUAGAACAUCUUCUUGAGAACCACCGGGUAAGAACAUUGACAGAAAAGAAUGGAGAAACUUCACAAAAAUAAAAGGAUACUUGGUAAAGAAAUCUUAAUCCUUGAGGAAAAAGGGUGGGUGGGCGGGAGAAAACAAAGGCAACUUGGAGACGGAUGAAACAAACACCGUUGAGAAGAAAUGAUAAUUGGUCUUGCUGAGGUUGAAGUGAUCGGAUCCACUUGAAGAGAAACACGCCGGUUGAAAAGGAUUGACAUGACAAUCUUGAUUGUCGAGAAGGAUCGGUAUUCACAUCGGAGUAUGAGAACACCAUUUCGGAAAGGUAUGGAAUCAACACUUGACAUUGAAGCAACUCGAAUACCACAACUCAAAACAAAAACAAAGGACUGGCUUGCAGAAUAAGCCGGAACAAACAUAUGAUAGAGAUUUCGUCCGAAGUUUUCGUGGUGGUGCCUACACGGGCUCGAUCGUACAACACCAUCAUGUACAAGGCAGUGCACAUGACAUACGAAGCGUCCCCGAGUCGGCAUAGCCAAGGACUCUUUAAGACACAACGAGACCACUGUAAAACCAACCGUGAAUAGGCGGACCACUAGACGUCGAACCCCAAUUUCAUAUCAUACAUCCGUCGGAAAGAUAUCCUAAGAGCUACUUGAAUUCCCACCUAUGAAACUCCCGAAAUUUUUCCGGUUAUGCAAUCAGGUGUUGGGGAUACAGGGGAAGCAUAAUAUCUCACCCAAAACUAGCAAAUCCUACAUCCAGCUGUAUCCAUCCUUCAACACAUAACCAAGAAACCUUCGGAAAUCGUCUACCUCAACCUUCAAAAAGCAUCCGUUAUACGAGUUAUGGCAAUACUCCCGUACUCACCUCAGUACUGGGUUAUCGGGGUUAUCUCACCAACAACUGCAUAAAAGAGAUUUUCGAUGUCGGCGUACUAAACUCAGGUAUUCCAGAACUGUAACGAUAAAAUUAUGAUGACAACACCUCAGAGCUCAACUCCCCGGGACACUUCCACUAAACCCCUGACAGGAGGCACCAAGACAAUAUUCUCAUCAUAAAACCAUCGGAACGAUUCCAAGAUACCCGCGUGAUCCUAAAAAUUUUUUAGUGAAAUUUGAGAAGAGAAGAGUCAAAACUCUACAUCAGGAUGCCUUACCAGAGCGAUGAAGAGACUGGGGAGUAAAAAGAAUUCCUAACUCUCCGAUAUAUAUAAUCCUAAAUGACUCAAAACAUUUUUCUAGACACAACUCGGCCGCUAAAACGAUCAAGCAGUGGGGCUCCUAAGGUCGGGGAAGGCUCUGAUACCAACUUGUAACGCCCUCGAUGCGGCUAUAUCUCCCACGUGUCGAAGCACGACUUAGAGGCAUAACCGCAUUGAAAGCAAUGUCGCAAGGGAGGUAAUCUUCACACAACCCAUGUAAUACAUAAGGGAAGAGAUACAUAGUUGGCUUACAAUCGCCACUUCACACAAUUACAUGAGUAAAGCAUUACAUCAUCCAGAUACAAUCAAGGUCCGAUUACGGAACCAAAAUAAAAGAAGAACCCCAAAUGCGACAAAGGUCCCCGAUCGACCCCAACUGGGCUCCACUACUGAUCAACUAGAACGAAACAACACAAAGGGCAAGAUCUUCAUCGAGCUCCUCCUUGAGCUUGGUUGCAUCACCUGCUCGGUAACAUAGGCACCUGCAAACUGGUUUUGGAAGUAUCUGUGAGCCACGGGGACUCAGCAAUCUCGCACCCGCGAGAUCAAGAC